rnacentral:rRNA from 1 species
CGAGCGGACCAAGAAGAGCUUGCUCUUCGGCGGUUAGCGGCGGACGGGUGAGUAACACGUAGGCAACCUGCCUGUACGACUGGGAUAACUCCGGGAAACCGGAGCUAAUACCGGAUACGUUUUUCAGACCGCAUGGUCUGAAAGAGAAAGACCUUUGGUCACGUACAGAUGGGCCUGCGGCGCAUUAGCUAGUUGGUGGGGUAACGGCCUACCAAGGCGACGAUGCGUAGCCGACCUGAGAGGGUGAUCGGCCACACUGGGACUGAGACACGGCCCAGACUCCUACGGGAGGCAGCAGUAGGGAAUCUUCCGCAAUGGACGAAAGUCUGACGGAGCAACGCCGCGUGAACGAUGAAGGUUUUCGGAUCGUAAAGUUCUGUUGUUAGGGAAGAACCGCCGGGAUGACCUCCCGGUCUGACGGUACCUAACGAGAAAGCCCCGGCUAACUACGUGCCAGCAGCCGCGGUAAUACGUAGGGGGCAAGCGUUGUCCGGAAUUAUUGGGCGUAAAGCGCGCGCAGGCGGCUUCUUAAGUCAGGUGUGAAAGCCCACGGCUCAACCGUGGAGGGCCACUUGAAACUGGGAGGCUUGAGUGCAGGAGAGGAGAGCGGAAUUCCACGUGUAGCGGUGAAAUGCGUAGAGAUGUGGAGGAACACCCGUGGCGAAGGCGGCUCUCUGGCCUGUAACUGACGCUGAGGCGCGAAAGCGUGGGGAGCGAACAGGAUUAGAUACCCUGGUAGUCCACGCCGUAAACGUUGAGUGCUAGGUGUUGGGGACUCCAAUCCUCAGUGCCGCAGCUAACGCAAUAAGCACUCCGCCUGGGGAGUACGGCC